CCUCAGUACUUUGCUGAUUAGUGGUGUUGGUGGAAAAAUGUAAGCCAACUCGAACUCCCACUUUUGGGAUAAGGCAUGCUGGGAUUCGGCUUGGUUGUUUUUUAAUCUCGAGUAGAAUCUGGUUGCUUGCGAGUUCCUCGACGUGGCCAUCAAGUCUAUUUGUGGUAUUCCCCAUGUCCUCACUACCUGUAGGAAGACUUCCCUGUUUAGAGACCAUUCCCCUGGCUCUAUACUCGCUCUGCACAGGAAGUCUGCUAAGGUAUGUUCUGUUCCUGGUAAGUAUACCACUUUUAGGUCUUUCAAGUGAAUCAUGGCCCAAUGCAUAAUUUGUUGUAGCUGCAAAAGCAGCUGAU